CUUACUUCCGGGGUUGGACUUCCUGUCCAUCACAAGGGAAAGCUUGCAGAGCUGGUUGGAGGGCCGGACACAACGGCUCCGCCCCCAGCGUCCCGUGGCCAUGACAACCGUAGCAAGGGAUUCCUUGGUGUGGAAGCUUGCGGAGCUUCUACGGGAGUCUGGGGAUGUGGUACUGUCUGGCUGUAGCACACUGAGCCUGCUGACUGUCACGCUGCAGCAGUUGAAUCGAGUGUUUGAGCUGUACCUGGGGCCAUGGGGUCCUAGCCAGACAGGCUUUGUGGCUCUGCCCUCCCACCCUGCCGACUCCCCCAUCAUCCUUCAACUUCAGUUCCUCUUUGAUGUGCUGCAGAAAACGCUUUCACUCAAGCUGGUCCAUAUCCCUGGGCCUGGCCUCCCAGGGCCCAUCAAGAUUUUUCCCUUCAAGUCUCUUCGGCAGUUGGAGCUCCGAGGUGUCCCCCUCCACUGCUUGCGUGGCCUCCAGGGCAUCUACUCUCAGCUGGAGACCCUGAUUUGCAGCAAGAGUCUCCAGGCAUUAGAGGAACUCCUUUCAGCCUGUGGCGGUGACCUCUGCUCUGCCCUUCCCUGGCUGGCUUUGCUUUCUGCCGACUUCAGCUACAAUGCCCUGACUGCCUUAGACGGCUCCCUGCAUCUCUUGUCAGCUCUGCGCUUCCUAAACCUGAGCCACAAUCGAGUGCAGGACUGCAAAGGCUUCCUGAUGGAUUUGUCUGAGCUGUGUCAUCUGGACAUCUCCUAUAACUACCUGCACUUGGUGCCAAGAAUGGGACCUUCAGGGGCUGCCCUGAGGACCUUGAUACUUCGAGGCAAUGAGCUCCAGAGCCUGCAAGGCUUGGAGCAGCUGAGGAACCUGCAGCAUCUGGAUGUGGCAUACAAUCUGCUGGAAGGACACAGGGAGCUGUGGCCACUGUGCCUACUGGCCGAGCUCCGCAAGCUCUAUCUGGAGGGGAACCCUUUGUGGUUUCAUCCUGCACAUCGCGUGGCCACCAUCCAGUACUUGUCACCCCGGGUCCGGGAUGCUGCUCACGGUUUCCUUCUUGAUGGUGAGGUCCUGUCACUGAAGGAUUUUCAGACCUCCACAUCCUCGGGGCUUGGCCCUUUGGCCCCGCCUCAGCCAUGGACCUUGGGGAGUACCACUGAAACCUCAGGUGGCCCUGAGCUGAGUGACAGCCUCUCUUCAGGGGGUGUUGCGGCCCAGGCCCCUCUUCGUAAGGUUAAGAGCCGAGUCCGUGUGAGGCAGGCGAGCAUCUCUGAGCCCAGUGAUACAGACCUGGAGCCCCGAACCCUGGAUCCCUCCCCAGCUGGAUUGUUUGUGCAACAACACCGGGAACUCGAGCUCCUGAACAGCUUCCGGGAAAGGUUUGGCUGUGACUGGCUGCAGUAUAGGAACCACCUGGAGGCCUCUGUGAGUCCCCUUCGGAGCACUUCUAAGACUCCUGCCCUUAGCACUUCUCCUCCAGAUGCCCUGGGCACUGAGACUCCCAGCCCUCUGGUCUCAGAGAAGGAAGUCAGAGGGUCUGAGGGGUCAGAACUGAAAGUGGCAGAGACGGGCAGGAAGGAGACGGAACCCCAAGAGGAAGAGGAGAAGGAGGAACAGGAAAAAGAAGAAGGAGCAAAGGAGGGGCAGGAAGAGGAAGAGGAAGAAGGGCAGGAACGGAAGGAAGUGGAAGCUGAGCUCUGUCGCCCCAUGUUGGUGUGUCCCCUGCAGAGGCCUGGGGGGGUGCAGGGAACAGAAUGCUUUCUCCGGGUCACUUCUGCCCACUUGGUUGAGGUGGAACUCCAAGCCGCUCGAACCCUUGGGCAGCUGGAGCUGCAGAGUCUGGUGACAGCUGAGCUAGAGCCUGAGAGCCCAACCCAAAGAGAACCAGUGCCAGAGGGCUCGGAUCACCUCCCAAGGGCCCCUGUCCUCGUGCUGCGCUUCGCCUACAUUUGCCCUGACCGGCAGUUGCGUCGCUACGUUGUGCUGGAGCCUGAUGCCCAUGUGGCUGCCCAGGAGUUUCUUGAUGUGCUGACCCCGUUUACCACAGUAGCACAGCAGCAGCUUGGGAAGGCCCACAGCCCACUGGGAGGCAGUUUCCAGUGUCUGCGCUGUGGCUUCGAGUUCAGGCCAGAGGAGCCGAGUCUGGGGUUGGACAGUGAGGAAGGCUGGAGGCCGUUGUUUCAAAAGACAGAGUCUCCUGCUGUGUGUCCCAGCUGUGGUAGUGACCACGUGGUUCUCCUGGCUCUGUCUGGGGAAACCCCCCACAGGGAGCAGAACCAGGCAGAGCAAUCACCGGCUCCCUCUCAGUCCCCCAGCCCUGGCUGUGACUCCUCUGGCCACAGUGACCACCCCAGCAGGGCUGACAACAUCCUAGUUUCCCACGGCCACAGCAGCUGGAGCCUCAGUCCCCCCGGUGAGCACUGUGGCUUCCGCUCUGUGGACCACCGACUCCGGCUCUUCCUGGACGUUGAGGUGUUUGGAGAUGCCCAGGAGGAGUUCCAGUGCUGCAUCAAGGUGCCAGUGGUGUUGUCAGGUCACCUGGGGGAAUUCCUGUGUCUUGUGGUCGUAUCUGAUUACAGGCUUUACCUGUUGAAGGUGACAGGGGACAUCUGCGGGCCUCCAGCUAGCUGGCUUCAGCCGACCCUGGCCAUUCCCCUGCAGGAUCUGAGUGGCAUGGAGCUGGGCCUGGCAGCCCAGAGUCUGCGGCUGGAGUGGAUGGCUGGGGUAGGCAGCUGUGUGCUGCUGCCCCGAGAUGCCCGACGUUGCCAGCUGUUCCUCGAGGAGUUCAUUGGUGUCUUGCAGUCUCUGCCCCCAACCCGGAGGAACUGUGUCAGUGCCACCGAGGAGGAGAUGACCCCACGGCACCGGCUCUGGCCUUUGCUGGGACAAGACACUUCCUCAGAGGUGCCACAGUUCUUCUAUCUUCAGGUGUUCCUGGUUGAAGGACCCUCCACCUGUCCUGUAUCCCUGUUGCUGACUCUGGCCACCUUGUACCUGUUAGAUGAGGACCCUGCAGGGUCCCAGGCUGAGCUCCCCCUCCCAGCAGCAUCUAGUGAUGCCUCUGAGAAGGCCUCCUCCUUGGGGCUGGGCCCCUCCGUGCAAGUCAGGGAGCAGCAGCCACUCAGCAGCCUGAGCUCAGUGCUGCUAUAUCGCAUGGCCCCCGAGGACCUGCGGCUGGUCUUCUAUGACGAGGUGUCUCGGCUGGAGAGCUUCUGGGCACUCCGUGUUGUGUGCCAGGAGCAGCUGACAGCCCUGCUGGCCUGGAUCCGGGAGCCCUGGGAGGAGCUGUUUUCUAUUGGACUCCGGACUGUGACCCAGGAGACUCUGGACCUUGAUCGGUGACACUUCCUCUGGCCCCAAACUGACCUCAGGAGCCACGCAGCAGAGGUUUCUCUCCUGGUCUCUGGCUCUGGCUUUGGACUUAUCUGGCCUUUGGAUGCUGGCACCGAAGCUCCCAGUGACACGUGGCUUAAGGGAAGGCCACACAGGCCGUGACGUCUGGAGCUUUCCACACCUGCCACCUUCUUGAAGCACAGCCCAGUGGUUCCAUGGUUGACAUCCCCCCUUCACCUGUCUUCAUGUCUGGCCAUGAAGACUGGCUCAGGACUGAUCACGUGCUGUCAUGUGGCCCACCAAGGCCCAGCAUUGGCCUAGGGCUGGUACAACCGUGAAAGACGCAUUUUCUCUUGAGGGUUGCUGAGAGGACAGACUGGUGCCACUGGCUAUGAGGGGAGAGCUUUUCUGAAAGUGGAAUCGUGGAGAGGAGAGGAUGGAGAUAGGUAGAGCAAGACCAAAUCCUGGUGAUGUCUUUGUGGACCCUGAAUCCGAUUGUACCUAAAGGUGAUAUUCCUAUAAUUUUAGAUUAUGUGAGUUAACUGAUACCUUUCCUUCUUUUGGUGGGUGGGGUAGGUUUAAGCUUGAACAAGCCUGGGUGGGAUCUGUUUUUUUUUUUUUUUUUAACCCCAAGUAUGAACAUAAUAGAAACAAUAACACCUAUGUCUUGUGUAGAGAGGCCCUGCUUCUUGAAUGAGGCUGUAUGCUGAAUCCAGUUCACUUUGUGUGUCAGGUCACUAAGCCUAUGGCCUUGACCAGUUUGUGGCCUGAUUGCUUUGGUGGGACAGCAGGGCUGAAGGCUGUGUCAUAGUUGAGCCUUGGCCUGGCCAGGAAUCACAUCUCUAAAUCUUUGCAGUCAAAAUAUCUAAAGAUUUAAGAGGGGACGUUUUCAAAGCUAUUACUUUAAAAUUUAUUUGAAGAGUAUUGAACAUGCAUAAGAAAGUUUACAUUGUACUUUGGGAUAUACUCCCACUGCUGACCCCUAGAUCCUUUCUAGUUGAGCAUGGUUACCCAUUUUUUGUGCUUCUGUCAAAAAUUUCACUGUGUCCACUCCGACCUAGCAUUUCUUCCAGAAAAGGGUUGGUUAUGGCAUUCCAUAAAGAGUGAGUGCUAAGAUUAGUUUUUCCCCAGGCAGGGCCCUGAUCUGGUCUGGUGGGAGGUGGAGAAGUGCUAUGAGUCUUGCAGGGGGCCAGGUGGGAGCUGGUUGGGGUACUACUUCCUCAGGAACAGGCCUGCAGAGAGGCCUGGCAGAUGCUCAGAAAAUAAAUUCACCUACUUCUGUUUUGCUUAGAGCUGCCCUGAAUUUUUAAUUGAAGCAAAUUAAACUUCCCCAAAUUAGUAGUCCAGUUUCUCAAUGAUGUUUACCAUAUUCACUGCCCCUUCCUGUCAGUGAUUUUGCAGCCUCUGAGAGCAGGAGGAGCCAGAUCCUGUCCUGAGGAGGUCUUCCCAGCCUCUGUCCGGGCACUGCCCUCCAGCACCGUCCCUUUGCAAGCACUUCACCCAGAGGCUGGGGUUGUUGUCUGGUCAGGGCGGAUCGA